AACGAACGCUGGCGGCAGGCCUAACACAUGCAAGACGAGCGAAGCCUUCGGGCUUAGCGGCGGACGGGUGAGUAACGCGUGGGAACGUGCCCUUUGGUACGGAAUAGCCCCGGGAAACUGGGAGUAAUACCGUAUGUGGUCGAGAGACGAAAGAUUUAUCGCCAAAGGAUCGGCCCGCGUUGGAUUAGGCAGUUGGUGGGGUAAUGGCCUACCAAGCCGACGAUCCAUAGCUGGUUUGAGAGGAUGAUCAGCCACACUGGGACUGAGACACGGCCCAGACUCCUACGGGAGGCAGCAGUGGGGAAUCUUAGACAAUGGGGGAAACCCUGAUCUAGCCAUGCCGCGUGAUCGAUGAAGGCCUUAGGGUUGUAAAGAUCUUUCAGUGGGGAAGAUAAUGACUGUACCCACAGAAGAAGCCCCGGCUAACUCCGUGCCAGCCGCCGCGGUAAGAC
rnacentral:rRNA from 1 species